rnacentral:tRNA from 1 species
GUCCCCUUCGUCUAGAGGCCUAGGACACCGCCCUUUCCACGGCGGUAACAGGGGUUCGAAUCCCCUAGGGGACGCCA